rnacentral:rRNA from 1 species
AAACUCGUGCUCUCGUUCUAGUGGAACCACCUAAUAUUCCAUCCCGAACUUAGAAGUGAAACGCUAGAAGGGUGAAAAUACUUGAGGGGAGGCCCUCCGGGAAGAUAACCUAGUGCGAGUUU